GGGCCAUUGGCUCAGCCAGGUAGAGCGGCGGACUCUUAAUCCGUCGGUCGGGGGUUCGAAAGGGGUUGUUUUCUCGACAAUCCCAGAAAUUCCCUCAUGGCCCG
rnacentral:tRNA from 1 species